rnacentral:tRNA from 1 species
GGGGCGGUAGCUCAAUGGUCAGAGCAGGGGACUCAUAAUCCCUGGGUUGUGGGUUCGAUCCCCACCCGCCCCA